rnacentral:rRNA from 1 species
CCUACGGGUGGCAGCAGUAGGGAAUCUUUCACAAUGGGCGAAAGCCUGAUGCAGCAACGCCGCGUGCAGGAUGAAGGCCUUCGGGUUGUAAACUCCUUUUAUAAGCGAGAAAUAUGAUGGUAACUUAUGAAUAAGGAUCGGCUAACUACGUGCCAGCAUCCGCGGUCAUACGUAGUAUCCGAGCAUUAUCCGGAGUGACUGGGUGUAAAGCGUUGCGUAGGUGGCAGAAUAAGGAGCUAGUGAAAUCUGGUGGCUCAACCAUUCAGACUAUUAGCUAACCUGUUAAGCUGGAGACAGUUAGGAGUAACUGGAAUUGCUAGUGUAGGAGGUAAAUUCGGAGAUAUUAGAAGGAACACCAGUAGCGUAGGCAGGUUGCUGGGACGGUUAUGACACUAGGGGACGAAAGCGUAGGGAGCAAACGGGAUUAGAUACCCCUUGUAGUC